rnacentral:tRNA from 1 species
GUGGAUGUAGCUCAGCUGGUUAGAGCACCGGAUUGUGAUUCCGGGGGUCGCGGGUUCGAAUCCCGUCUUCCACCCCA